rnacentral:rRNA from 1 species
CCUACGGGCGGCAGCAGUGGGGAAUAUUGGGCAAUGGGCGCAAGCCUGACCCAGCAACGCCGCGUGAAGGAAGAAGGCUUUCUGGUUGUAAACUUCUUUUCUGAGGGACGCAGACAGUGACGGUACCGCAGGAAUAAGCCACGGCUAACUACGGGCCAGCAGCCGCGGUAAUACGUAGGGGGCAAGCGUUAUCCGGAUUUAUGGGGUGUAACGGGCGUGUAGGCGGGAAAGCAAGGCAGAUGUGAAAACUCAGGGCUCAACCCUGAGCCUGCCGUUGAAACUGUUUUUCUUGAGUGCUGAAGAGGCAAUCGGACUUCCUAGUGUAGCGGUG